rnacentral:rRNA from 1 species
UACAGAGGGGGCAAGCGUUGUUCGGAAUUACUGGGCGUAAAGGGCGCGUAGGCGGCCUUCUAAGUCGAACGUGAAAUCCCCGGGCUCAACCCGGGAACUGCGUCCGAUACUGGAAGGCUUGAAUCCGGGAGAGGGAUGCGGAAUUCCAGGUGUAGCGGUGAAAUGCGUAGAUAUCUGGAGGAACACCGGUGGCGAAGGCGGCAUCCGGGACCGGCAUUGACGCUGAGGCGCGAAAGCCAGGGGAGCAAACGGG